rnacentral:tRNA from 1 species
AAAUGAGAAACAAAAACAAUUGUAUUUAGUUUCGACCUAAAAUUUUGGUUAAAAAGCCCUCAUUUG